AGUGAACGCUGGCGGUAGGCCUAACACAUGCAAGUCGAACGGCAGCACAGUAAGAGCUUGCUCUUACGGGUGGCGAGUGGCGGACGGGUGAGGAAUACAUCGGAAUCUACUUUUUCGUGAGGGAUAACGUAGGGAAACUUACGCUAAUACCGCAUACGACCUACGGGUGAAAGCAGGGGAUCUUCGGACCUUGCGCGAUUGAAUGAGCCGAUGUCGGAUUAGCUAGUUGGCGGGGUAAAGGCCCACCAAGGCGACGAUCCGUAGCUGGUCUGAGAGGAUGAUCAGCCACACUGGAACUGAGACACGGUCCAGACUCCUACGGGAGGCAGCAGUGGGGAAUAUUGGACAAUGGGCGCAAGCCUGAUCCAGCCAUACCGCGUGGGUGAAGAAGGCCUUCGGGUUGUAAAGCCCUUUUGUUGGGAAAGAAAAGCAGCAGGUUAAUACCCCGCUGUUCUGACGGUACCCAAAGAAUAAGCACCGGCUAACUUCGU
rnacentral:rRNA from 1 species